AACGAACGCUGGGCGGCAGGCUUAACACAUGCAAGUUGAACGGGAUUUGCUAAGUGCUUGCACGGAGCAAUGAGAGUAGCGCACUGGUGAGUAACACGGUGGGAACAUGCCUUUUGGGUGGGGGACAACAGAAGGGAACUUCUGCUAAUACCGCAUACGCCCUAAGGGGGAAAGAUUAAUUGCCGAAAGAUUGGCCCGCGGAAGAUUAGGUAGUUGGUGGGGUAAAGGCCUACCAAGCCGACGAUCUAUAGCUGGUCUGAGAGGACGAACAGCCACAUUGGAACUGAGACACGGUCCAGACUCCUACGGGAGGCAGCAGUGAGGAAUAUUGGGCAAUGGAGGAAACUCUGAACCCCAGCCAUGCCGCGUGAGUGAAGAAGGUUUUCGAAUUGUAAAGCUCUUUCGGAUACGAGGAUGAUGACGGUAGUAUCUAAAGAAGCCCCGGCAAACUUCGUGCCAGCCGCCGC
rnacentral:rRNA from 1 species